AUACGGAGGGUGCGAGCGUUAAUCGGAAUUACUGGGCGUAAAGCGCGCGUAGGCGGCUAGGUCAGUCGGAUGUGAAAGCCCUGGGCUCAACCUAGGAACUGCAUUCGAUACUGCCUAGCUAGAGUAUGGUAGAGGGAAGCGGAAUUCCGGGUGUAGCGGUGAAAUGCGUAGAUAUCCGGAGGAACACCAGUGGCGAAGGCGGCUUCCUGGACCAAUACUGACGCUGAGGUGCGAAAGCGUGGGGAGCAAACAGGAUUAGAUACCCCAGUAGUCC
rnacentral:rRNA from 1 species